CUCUCAUAUGUUUACUAGAAUUUAUAGAAGCAGUUGAGGAAGUAGGAAUGGAAUCACUGAGAACUCAGUAAUAAAGUAUUUUUUUAAUAUCUUCUACUAGGAAAUGCUGAGCCAAAGUUUUGUAGACAGCGAGGAUCAUUCAUUAAUUGAAGCUUCCUUCCUAAUGCUUGCCAAAGCAAGAGACAAGAGUUCCAUAGCAGGAGUUACUAGGAGUGGAAAAGCAAAUGGCAAGGAGGAAGAGAAAACAAGCAGAGGAGUGUUUGUAUGAAAACACAUGCUCACUUUUCUGAAGAAACUGAAAGAGUGCUUCUUCAUGCAGGCAUGUUUCCAAAGAGGCUGAAGAAAGGAAAUCACAUUUAAAACAAACAUUUACUCCUGUUGCUAAGUCAGUGCCUCACAACAUUACUAUAGUAUCAGACAUAAAAAUUAAGCCAGAAUUAUGCAGUUCAGCCUAAUGCAGUCUGCUCAGCCUCUAGUGAUAGACAAAGAGAAACAGUUGCAUUUUGUAUAAUUAGUUGGGGGUGUGCAACAUGCAUUUAAAAACCAUGUCAGGACAAUUUUGCAUAGCAGAAAACAAUCUCAUUAACACAUUUCA
rnacentral:lncRNA from 1 species